GGAAGGACAGUUCGUCGAGACCUUAACUGGGUUUAAAUGGAUGGGUAACACGACCCUUCUGCUGUCACAACAGAGCAAGACGGCGGUGUUCGCGUUCGAGGAGGCCAUCGGGUACAUGUGCAACGCAAGGAGUGCCAGACAAGGACGGCGUGUCGGCCGCCGUACACGUAGCUUCAUUAGCAUCUCACUUGUACGCAAAAGGUUCGUCCCUCAACCAACAAUUGCAAGCGUUGUAUGCCGAGUACGGAUACCACGUGUCUUACAACGCGUACUACAUCUGCCACGAGCCGGCAGUCAUACAGAAGAUAUUCAGGCGGAUAAGGAACUACCAUGGACCGGGGGAGUAUCCAAGGCAAGUGGGUUCACAUGAGAUAGUGUUUAUAAACGAUUUCACUGCUGGAGUGAAGAUACCGGAAGAGACUAACGGCGGACCGCACUUGAGUGUGCUCGGCACCGGCCUGGACCAGGAGUACACGAGCGGCGAGAUGAUCCUCCUGCGCACGCGCGGCAGAGC